rnacentral:hammerhead_ribozyme from 1 species
ACCUUGCUGACGAGUGCCACGUAGCACGAAACCCGGGUUCAGGGU